AGUAAAAUGGUGGGGAUGUGGGAGUAAGUCUCACUACUGUAAACCAAAAGUAGCGUUAUUUAACCUGACAAACGUUCAAAGUGCAAAGCGUAAUGACGGACUCAACUAUUUUGUCGGACUAGUCGGUAAUGAAACGUGCAACCGCAACAAUUCCAAGAAUAGAGGGACAAUGUUUACAUGUUACAGUCACUCAGAUUCACAAGUAAACAACAGCUAAAGAAAUAUAUGAAUAGAAAUCAACAUAUUUCUAUGCUUUCUCAUGAAUAUGUAUUAUAAAAUGUACAAAGUGUGCUAUUCUUUUGCCGUGACCUGUAUUUGAAAACUUUGGUUCCAAUUCUUCCACACUGAAGCGUUUACCACGUGGAUUUGUUGUUGUGUACCGUUACAUAGUUACCCAUUGUAACUUGAAUUGUUGGACGAAUGUAGUCACAUACAGUCAUAUACGCGUAACAUAUUAAAAUAAGCUCUUGUAUCAAUUUUACGAAGAGAAAAUAUAAAAACCUUUGUAAAUAAUUAAUAACUUAAUGUACACGCAUUAAAAUUAACAUACAAUAAAUUAACUUUUAAUAGUUGAAAUUUGCGAUGUUUCAUAUUCUGUUAUAGUAUCUUUUUAAAAGAAGCUAAGAACGAAAAUGUACAUAAUUCAUAAUUUACGGUAAAUGUAGUAGCAAAAUUUUGAAUUCCUUCAAUAAACACUAUAAAUAAGUAAGGGA